GCAGGGAAUCUUGCGCAAUGGGCGAAAGCCUGACGCAGCAACACCGCGUGGGGGAUGAAGGCUCACGGGUCGUAAACCCCUUUUCUCAGGGAAGAAAAAAAUGACGGUACCUGAGGAAUAAGCCUCGGCCAACUACGUGCCAGCAGCCGCGGUAAUACGUAGGAGGCAAGCGUUAUCCGGAUUCACUGGGCGUAAAGAGCGCGCGGGCGGUCCUCUAAGUUAGAUGUGAAAGCUCUCAGCUUAACUGAGAGAAGCCAUUUAAUACUGGGGGGCUUGAGGGCAGCAGAGGAAGAUGGAAUUCCCGGUGUAGUGGUGAAAUGCGUAGAUAUCGGGAGGAACACCAGUGGCGAAGGCGGUCUUCUGGGCUGUACCUGACGCUGAGGCGCGAAAGCGUGGGGAGCAAACAGGAUUAGAAACCCUUGUAGUCC
rnacentral:rRNA from 1 species